rnacentral:pre_miRNA from 1 species
CUGCGAUAAACAUUCAUUGCUGUCGGUGGGUUUGACGAAAGGGUAACUCACUGGCCAAUGAGUGCACACUGCGG